rnacentral:rRNA from 1 species
AGAGUUUGAUCAUGGCUCAGGACGAACGUUGGCGGCGUGCUUAAUACAUGCAAGUCAACUGAAGCUGUGAUAGCAAUAUUGCAGUGGAGGUGGCGCACGGGUGAGUAACACGUAGGUAAUCUGCCUUCAGGUCUGAAAUAACUCCGGGAAACCGGUGCUAAUGACAGAUGAUGCAGCGGCUCGACAUCGAGACAGUUGUUAAAGAUUUAUCGCCUGAAGAUGAGCCUGCGUCUGAUUAGCUAGUUGGCGGGGUAACGGCCCACCAAGGCUGCGAUCAGUAGCUGGUCUGAGAGGAUGAUCAGCCACACUGGAACUGAGAUACGGUCCAGACUCCUACGGGAGGCAGCAGUAAGGAAUAUUGCUCAAUGGCCGAAAGGCUGAAGCAGCAACGCCGCGUGAGGGACGAAGGGCUUAAGCUUGUAAACCUCUGUAACGGGGGAAAAAACUUCCACUUAAGUGGAAUAUGAUGGUACCCCGAAAGUAAGCGUCGGCUAACUACGUGCCAGCAGCCGCGGUAAUACGUAGGACGCAAACGUUGUCCGGAUUUACUGGGUGUAAAGGGUGCUCAGGCGGUCUUGUAAGUCAGAGGUGAAAUCUCCCGACUCAAUCGGGAAACUGCCUUUGAUACUGUGAGGCUUGAGUGCAGAAGAGGCGGAUGGAAUUUCUGGUGUAGCAGUGAAAUGCGUAGAUAUCAGAAAGAACACCAGUGGCGAAGGCGGUCCGCUGUCUGUCACUGACGCUAAAGCACGAAAGCGUGGGUAGCAAACAGGAUUAGAUACCCUGGUAGUCCACGCCUUAAACGAUGAAUACUAGACGUUGGGGUAAAACUCAGUGUCGCAGCUAACGCAGUAAGUAUUCCACCUGGGGAGUACGAUCGCAAGGUUGAAACUCAAAGGAAUUGACGGGGGCCCGCACAAGCAGUGGAGCAUGUGGUUCAAUUCGAUGCGACGCGAAGAACCUUACCUGGGCUUGACAUGUAAGCUAAGGCGAAUGAAAGUUCGCGUCCCGCAAGGGGAGCUUAUACAGAUGCUGCAUGGCUGUCGUCAGCUCGUGCCGUGAGGUGUUGGGUUAAGUCCCGCAACGAGCGCAACCCCUGUUUCUAGUUGCCACCGGGUAAUGCCGAGCACUCUAGAAAGACUGCCUACGCAAGUAGUGAGGAAGGUGGGGAUGACGUCAAGUCCGCAUGGCUCUUACGCCCAGGGCCACACACGUGCUACAAUGGCAACUACAAAGGGCUGCAAGACCGCAAGGUGGAGCCAAUCCCUAAAAAGUUGUCUCAGUUCGGAUCGGAGUCUGAAACUCGACUCCGUGAAGCUGGAAUUGCUAGUAAUCGUGGAUCAGCACGCCACGGUGAAUACGUUCCCGGGCCUUGUACACACCGCCCGUCAAGCCAUGGAAGUUGGGGGUACCCGAAGUCGCCUUUAAAAAGCGCCGAAGGUAAAACCAGUGACUGGGGCUAAGUCGUAACAAGGUAACC